rnacentral:rRNA from 1 species
UUAAGAUCUCUAAAUUCAAAGAAUUUGGCGGUAAUUAAGUCUUCCUAGAGGAACCUGUCCUAUAAUUGAUAAUCCACGUUUAAUACUACUUUAAUUAAACUUGUAUAUCUCUGUUAUUGAAUGUAUUAAAAGAUAAUUUUCUUAAUUUCUAUUUUAUGAAUAAAUAUCAGGUCAAGGUGCAGUUAUAAUAUUAAAGAAGAGAUGGGUUACUAUAUUAUUAAUAUGGAUUUAUAAUUGAAAAAUUAUAAUGAAAAAGGAUUUAGAAGUAAUUUUAAUAAUUAAUAUUAAUUUGAUUAUAGCUCUUAAUUAU